AUUGAACGCUGGCGGCAGGCCUAACACAUGCAAGUCGAGCGGAUGAAGGGAGCUUGCUCCUGGAUUCAGCGGCGGACUGGUGAGUAAUGCCUAGGAAUCUGCCUGGUAGUGGGGGAUAACGUCCGGAAACGGGCGCUAAUACCGCAUACGUCCUGAGGGAGAAAGUGGGUGAUCUUCGGACCUCACGCUAUCAGAUGAGCCUAGGUCGGAUUAGCUAGUUGGUGGGGUAAAGGCCUACCAAGGCGACGAUCCGUAACUGGUCUGAGAGGAUGAUCAGUCACACUGGAACUGAGACACGGUCCAGACUCCUACGGGAGGCAGCAGAGGGGAAUAUUGGACCAUAGGCGAAAGCCUGAUCCAGCCAUGCCGCGUGUGUGAAGAAGGUCUUCGGAUUGUAAAGCACUUUAAGUUGGGAGGAAGGGCAGUAAGUUAAUACCUUGCUGUUUUGACGGUACCAACAGAAUAAGCACCGGCUAACUUCGUG
rnacentral:rRNA from 1 species